rnacentral:rRNA from 1 species
CCCAGAAAACAAUGUCACAAUAUUGUUUCUAAAGUAUUUAUCAGAGGCUACAUACCUAUCGCACUAAAUAAUAGCUGGUUUUUCAGUUAUCAGUCUAAUCUGCUCAAGCUACUUAACAUCGCACUCUUAUCUCAGCUAUGAAAAAAAAUCAAGGACAAGCUUGAUUUCAUACACUUAUUUAAUUAAAACUCCCCUCUACGUAGGCCUAAAAUCAGCCAACAUAAUACUACGUUAUAGUAAACAAACUAAAAUAUCAAAACAAUACCAAACCUCUGAAAUAUACUAUAAAACCCUUUAUAGUCCCAACUAUGCAAAGAUUAGUAUUUUAAUCCACUAAACCCAUUAAUACCCCAUAUGUAAAUAAGGAACUCGGCAACCACUCAUUCCGACUGUUUAACAAAAACAUUGCCUGUAGCCCCCACUAUUACAGGUACACCCUGCCCAGUGUUAUUAUCAACGGCCGCGGUACCCUGACCGUGCAAAGGUAGCAUAAUAAUUUGCCUUUUAAUUGAAGGCUAGUAUGAAAGGGCAAACGAGAAUGACCCUGUCUCAUUAAUAUUCAUAAAAAUUUAUCUUCAGGUGAAGAAGCCUGAAUCUAUAUAAAAGACAAGAAGACCCUGUCGAGCUUUAAUUUAAUAUACGAUCCCUAAAAUUCACGGUACUCCCCCUCGUAUAAAAAUUUUUGUUGGGGCGACAACGGAACCCACUAAUCUUCCGCCAAACCAAAGACCUUAUGUCACUCAAACGAUCCUUUAUUGAUCACAAAACUUAGCUACCGCAGGGAUAACAGACUAAUC